rnacentral:rRNA from 1 species
GGGUUGUGAGGUUAAGCGACUAAGCGUACACGGUGGAUGCCCUGGCAGUCAGAGGCGAUGAAGGACGUGCUAAUCUGCGAUAAGCGUCGGUAAGGUGAUAUGAACCGUUAUAACCGGCGAUUUCCGAAUGGGGAAACCCAGUGUGUUUCGACACACUAUCAUUAACUGAAUCCAUAGGUUAAUGAGGCGAACCGGGGGAACUGAAACAUCUAAGUACCCCGAGGAAAAGAAAUCAACCGAGAUUCCCCCAGUAGCGGCGAGCGAACGGGGAGCAGCCCAGAGCCUGAAUCAGUGUGUGUGUUAGUGGAAGCGUCUGGAAAGGCGCGCGAUACAGGGUGACAGCCCCGUACACAAAAAUGCACAUGCUGUGAGCUCGAUGAGUAGGGCGGGACACGUGGUAUCCUGUCUGAAUAUGGGGGGACCAUCCUCCAAGGCUAAAUACUCCUGACUGACCGAUAGUGAACCAGUACCGUGAGGGAAAGGCGAAAAGAACCCCGGCGAGGGGAGUGAAAAAGAACCUGAAACCGUGUACGUACAAGCAGUGGGAGCCUCUUUUAUGGGGUGACUGCGUACCUUUUGUAUAAUGGGUCAGCGACUUAUAUUCUGUAGCAAGGUUAACCGAAUAGGGGAGCCGAAGGGAAACCGAGUCUUAACUGGGCGUUAAGUUGCAGGGUAUAGACCCGAAACCCGGUGAUCUAGCCAUGGGCAGGUUGAAGGUUGGGUAACACUAACUGGAGGACCGAACCGACUAAUGUUGAAAAAUUAGCGGAUGACUUGUGGCUGGGGGUGAAAGGCCAAUCAAACCGGGAGAUAGCUGGUUCUCCCCGAAAGCUAUUUAGGUAGCGCCUCGUGAAUUCAUCUCCGGGGGUAGAGCACUGUUUCGGCAAGGGGGUCAUCCCGACUUACCAACCCGAUGCAAACUGCGAAUACCGGAGAAUGUUAUCACGGGAGACACACGGCGGGUGCUAACGUCCGUCGUGAAGAGGGAAACAACCCAGACCGCCAGCUAAGGUCCCAAAGUCAUGGUUAAGUGGGAAACGAUGUGGGAAGGCCCAGACAGCCAGGAUGUUGGCUUAGAAGCAGCCAUCAUUUAAAGAAAGCGUAAUAGCUCACUGGUCGAGUCGGCCUGCGCGGAAGAUGUAACGGGGCUAAACCAUGCACCGAAGCUGCGGCAGCGACGCUUAUGCGUUGUUGGGUAGGGGAGCGUUCUGUAAGCCUGCGAAGGUGUGCUGUGAGGCAUGCUGGAGGUAUCAGAAGUGCGAAUGCUGACAUAAGUAACGAUAAAGCGGGUGAAAAGCCCGCUCGCCGGAAGACCAAGGGUUCCUGUCCAACGUUAAUCGGGGCAGGGUGAGUCGACCCCUAAGGCGAGGCCGAAAGGCGUAGUCGAUGGGAAACAGGUUAAUAUUCCUGUACUUGGUGUUACUGCGAAGGGGGGACGGAGAAGGCUAUGUUGGCCGGGCGACGGUUGUCCCGGUUUAAGCGUGUAGGCUGGUUUUCCAGGCAAAUCCGGAAAAUCAAGGCUGAGGCGUGAUGACGAGGCACUACGGUGCUGAAGCAACAAAUGCCCUGCUUCCAGGAAAAGCCUCUAAGCAUCAGGUAACAUCAAAUCGUACCCCAAACCGACACAGGUGGUCAGGUAGAGAAUACCAAGGCGCUUGAGAGAACUCGGGUGAAGGAACUAGGCAAAAUGGUGCCGUAACUUCGGGAGAAGGCACGCUGAUAUGUAGGUGAAGUCCCUCGCGGAUGGAGCUGAAAUCAGUCGAAGAUACCAGCUGGCUGCAACUGUUUAUUAAAAACACAGCACUGUGCAAACACGAAAGUGGACGUAUACGGUGUGACGCCUGCCCGGUGCCGGAAGGUUAAUUGAUGGGGUCAGCGCAAGCGAAGCUCUUGAUCGAAGCCCCGGUAAACGGCGGCCGUAACUAUAACGGUCCUAAGGUAGCGAAAUUCCUUGUCGGGUAAGUUCCGACCUGCACGAAUGGCGUAAUGAUGGCCAGGCUGUCUCCACCCGAGACUCAGUGAAAUUGAACUCGCUGUGAAGAUGCAGUGUACCCGCGGCAAGACGGAAAGACCCCGUGAACCUUUACUAUAGCUUGACACUGAACAUUGAGCCUUGAUGUGUAGGAUAGGUGGGAGGCUUUGAAGUGUGGACGCCAGUCUGCAUGGAGCCGACCUUGAAAUACCACCCUUUAAUGUUUGAUGUUCUAACGUUGACCCGUGAUCCGGGUUGCGGACAGUGUCUGGUGGGUAGUUUGACUGGGGCGGUCUCCUCCUAAAGAGUAACGGAGGAGCACGAAGGUUGGCUAAUCCUGGUCGGACAUCAGGAGGUUAGUGCAAUGGCAUAAGCCAGCUUGACUGCGAGCGUGACGGCGCGAGCAGGUGCGAAAGCAGGUCAUAGUGAUCCGGUGGUUCUGAAUGGAAGGGCCAUCGCUCAACGGAUAAAAGGUACUCCGGGGAUAACAGGCUGAUACCGCCCAAGAGUUCAUAUCGACGGCGGUGUUUGGCACCUCGAUGUCGGCUCAUCACAUCCUGGGGCUGAAGUAGGUCCCAAGGGUAUGGCUGUUCGCCAUUUAAAGUGGUACGCGAGCUGGGUUUAGAACGUCGUGAGACAGUUCGGUCCCUAUCUGCCGUGGGCGCUGGAGAACUGAGGGGGGCUGCUCCUAGUACGAGAGGACCGGAGUGGACGCAUCACUGGUGUUCGGGUUGUCAUGCCAAUGGCACUGCCCGGUAGCUAAAUGCGGAAGAGAUAAGUGCUGAAAGCAUCUAAGCACGAAACUUGCCCCGAGAUGAGUUCUCCCUGACCCUUUAAGGGUCCUGAAGGAACGUUGAAGACGACGACGUUGAUAGGCCGGGUGUGUAAGCGCAGCGAUGCGUUGAGCUAACCGGUACUAAUGAACCGUGAGGCUUAACCUUACAACGCCGAAGCUGUU